rnacentral:rRNA from 1 species
ACGAACGCUGGCGGCGUGCCUAAUACCUGCAAGUAGAACGCUGAAGAGAGGAGCUUGCUCUUCUUGGAUGAGUUGCGAACGGGUGAGUAACGCGUAGGUAACCUGCCUUGUAGCGGGGGAUAACUAUUGGAAACGAUAGCUAAUACCGCAUAACAAUGGAUGACCCAUGUCAUUUAUUUGAAAGGGGCAAAUGCUCCACUACAAGAUGGACCUGCGUUGUAUUAGCUAGUAGGUGAGGUAACGGCUCACCUAGGCGACGAUACAUAGCCGACCUGAGAGGGUGAUCGGCCACACUGGGACUGAGACACGGCCCAGACUCCUACGGGAGGCAGCAGUAGGGAAGCUUCGGCAAUGGGGGCAACCCUGACCGAGCAACGCCGCGUGAGUGAAGAAGGGUGUCGGAUCGUAAAGCUCUGUUGUAAGUCAAGAACGAGUGUGAGAGUGGAAAGUUCACACUGUGACGGUAGCUUACCAGAAAGGGACGGCUAACUACGUG